UAGCCAUGUUGAGGACAUCUCUGGAUGAGGUCCUUGAAUCACUCCCAUGCCUCGUAAAGAGGCUCAAAAUCUAACUGUCUCAAUUGAGCGAUAUCGCUCCUUAACUG
rfam:Morus notabilis contig10090, whole genome shotgun sequence.